rnacentral:rRNA from 1 species
UACAGAGGUCUCAAGCGUUGUUUGGAUUCAUUGGGCGUAAAGGGCGCGUAGGCGGCGGGGUAAGUCGGGUGUGAAAUCUCAGAGCUCAACUCUGAAAUGGCACUUGAUACUGCUCUGCUAGAGGACUGGAGAGGAGAUUGGAAUUCACGGUGUAGCAGUGAAAUGCGUAGAUAUCGUGAGGAAGACCGGUGGCGAAGGCGGAUCUCUGGACAGUUCCUGACGCUGAGGCGCGAAGGCCAGGGGAGCAAACGGG